GAAAUUAGAUGCUGCACUAGAUGCUUUAACAUCAUGAUAGGUUUUAAUCCUUAAUUUCUUUGAAUUUCAUGAUCUUUGACUAAAAGUUGUUAAAUAAUAACAAAUGUAACAUUGUCUCAUGACAUAUACUACAAUUUGUACAAUUGGUAUAAACAUAAGCCAAUGUUUGGUUUUGGGAAGAUUUUGUACAAACAUAGCCAAUGUUUGGUCUGGAAAGCCAAUUUGUACAAACAUAAACCACUCACACAACUGUUCUCCCAUCCCAAAAUAUUCAGAACCCGAGGGAAGGGAAUAAGGCGCAGUAGAAAGAAUACAACCUUGAAUCACAGAGGGACCCUGUGACAAUAUGAUCUCUGCCUCUGCCACUUUCUUGCUCUGUGAAUUGAGAGAGAUUAUUUCAAUUCUCUCAGUGUCACUUUCUUAAUCCUUUCCUUAUUCAAUCUUUUUAUUUGCCUUGCUCAGGUGACACAAAAGAAGACCCAGAAGUACCAUGGGCAAAUCAUGGACCAAGAACUGGAAUGGAUAUCUAGUACACUUCCCGAACUAAAGACUGCAGACAGAGAAAGGGAAGACAGGGGUUUAACCAGCAAUUCAAAGUGAGGUGAUCAGCCUUCCGUUACAGAGUUAACUGUGUGUGAAAGUGCUAUCAAGGCCCUUCAGUGCAAGAUUGAAGUGAAGUGAUGAUAUUUGACAUUCUUGACUUCAAAGGAAUGCUUUGAAUAUCUUACCAUUAGAUAAGAUUGUUUGCAGUGGAUUUUUAAAAAAAAUUUUAUUAGCCUUUAUCAGAUUGAGGAAGCUCCAUUCUAGUUCUAGUUUGUCAUGAGUUUUUAUUUUUAAUUUUUAUCAUGAAUGGAUUUUAAAACUCAGAUGCUUUCUAUGCAUCAAUGAGGUGAUGUCUAUUUUUAUUUUGUUCUCAAUGUGACAAAUUGCAUUGCCUUUCUAAUGUUAAACUAACCCAAAUUUCUGGUAUAAACCAAUGUGUUUAUGAUGAAGUCUCCUUUUUACCAAUUGCUGGGUUUACAUUUUUAAGAAUUUUUGGAUUUAUGUUCAUAAUGAGAUUGGACUGUACGUUUCCCUUGUCAUAUUCUCUUUAUUGGUUUUUGGUAUCAAGAAAAUCCAGUCUGAUACCAUGUAUUAGAGUUUAUCUUAUUUUGUUGUUCUCUGGAAAUAUGUAGGAUUGAUAUUAAUUUUUCCCUAAGUCUGCUAGUAAAGAUAUUUGAAUCUAAACAUUUUGGAGGAAGUUUUAUAUGGCUGUUUCAGUUUCUUUACGUUUGUCUCAGUAUUUUCUUUUGUCAAAUUUAUGAGUUUUCUAGAAAUUUUCUAGACAGUUUCUUCCGAAUUUCUCAAUUUAUUGAAAUAAAGUUAUUACAUA